rnacentral:tRNA from 1 species
UUGGUAGUUCAGCUGGUUAGAAUGCCUGCCUGUCACGCAGGAGGUCGCGGGUGGUUCGAACCCCGUUUUCCGCUUAGCCA